rnacentral:lncRNA from 1 species
ACCGAAGCUUAGAAGUGGCACAGUGAGGGCGCACCUGGUCCUCCCUGAAGAGGCUUCAGUUCACGGUUGCAUCCCCACCCCUCAGUUCCGACCAUUUUCAGACACACUGGCCCAGAAACGUUUGUAAUUAAAGGGUUGUUUGAAAGUACAAACCCGAGCAAAGUAGCUCUGUAAGAUUUGCUGAUUGGCUCAGAAGUCAGCUUGCACCGUCUAGCUGCAGGGCCACACUCACAGAAUAUGGAGUUUCCACUAGGGGUUGAAUCAGAGCUGUAGCCGCUGGCCUACGACACCACAGCCACAGCCAUGCCAGAUCCGAGACACGUCUUUGACCUACUCCACAGCUCACAACAACACCGGAUCCUUAACCCACUGAGAGAGGCCAGGGAUGGAACCUGCAUCUUCAUGGAUACUAGUCAGGCGGAAUUCCACUCUCCUGCUUCUCUGCAGACAAGGGUGAUGUACAAUCUGUGUGUCCUUGGCACACUUGGUAACCAAUUCCAGUCUCAUUUCUGCCUUUAUGCUGAGAUCAGCAUUCAGAAGUGCAGUGAGUGGAGAGGAAACAUUCCUUUCGUGAUUCUACCUCUGACUGGAGCGCCACAGUAUGUUUAAGAGCACAUGAUCUAUAUACCACUGGACACAAUCUUCUCUGCAUUUGGUGUACUUCAUUUGCUAUCUCAGAUAUUUGAACUCAAUCAAUGUUGAUUAAUGAAGAAACCAAGAAUGCUCUGACAUUAACCUUACAAAUGCUUUCUUAGGUCAGUCUCCCAAGGCAACAGAAAUAAAAGUAAAAACAAACCAAUGGGACCUAAUCAAACUGACAAGAUUUUGCACAGCAAAGGAAAUCACAAAAGACCCAAAAAGACAACCUAUGGAAUGGGAGAAAAUAGUUUCAAAUGAAGCAACUGACAAGAGCGUAAUCUCUAAAAUAUACAACUUACACAACUCAACAGAAAAAAAAAAAAAAAAA